UUAAAUAAUAAUACACCAAAAGCUACUGGCCAUAUCUGAUUUUUGCAACUCCAGCAAACCCACUGGUAAUUCCCUUCCUCUCAUAUGGCGAUUUACGGCAAGAGACCACCGCCUUCACUCGUCGCUUAUUUUUGGGGCUAUUAGGGUUCGUCGAGCAAGUCCAGUGAGUUCAGUUGUAAGACGGCGACAACGGUGGCGGCCACGGUUCCUUUGGCCUCCGGUCUCUUCGUAUCAAGCACAUCUCUCUCUUUAGGCGUCAAUUUCAUUUUGGGUAUCACCUGGAGAAGGAACCGGUGCGAGUGUGCGACAAUGUCGGAUGAUGAUGAUGAUCAAGUGGACAGUGAUGCGAAUUUGUUUGAUGGGAUGGGUUGCAGUGCUGGAUUGAUCUCUAUUGAUCUUGCCAAACAGCUGAAUAUAUAUAGUUGAAUGCUUAGAGGUAACAUUUUGAGCUUCUGAGUUUAGCGAUUUUUUUAAUGCUUUAACAGUUGAAUAUGGUUAUACCUUAUAUGCCAAUGUUGAUACCUCCCCUCAAAGAAAAAACUGACCCGACCCGAAUUGAGCCACACACUUGCAGCAUCUUGCUUUGCAACUAUGGCAAUCAGGGAGCUGCUCAAAACAUCAACUUCUAAGAGUUGCUUGGCAAAGGAAUGUGAAGAUGGAUGUUGCUGAUAGCCUGAUACUACUUGGAAGCUAGAUGAAGCUGGAUUUUUGAAGACAGUAGAUCUGUUUUUGUGUAGUGUAGAACUGUAGAUUUUGCUUUUGUUUUGUUUUAUACUUUUAUGUAUGGUUUAAGGCUUAGAGUUCAUGUUUUGCACAAAUGGAACAUAAAUGUUAUUGAGUUUUGAACAUAGUAAUUAUUUUGACCGCCUGCACGCCGCGAAGCGAUCCCGCGGUUUAAAUCCUAGUUAAUAUUAGAAUUGAA